GGGGGCAACCCUGACCGAGCAACGCCGCGUGAGUGAAGAAGGUUUUCGGAUCGUAAAGCUCUGUUGUAAGUCAAGAACGAGUGUGAGAGUGGAAAGUUCACACUGUGACGGUAGCUUACCAGAAAGGGACGGCUAACUACGUGCCAGCAGCCGCGGUAAUACGUAGGUCCCGAGCGUUGUCCGGAUUUAUUGGGCGUAAAGCGAGCGCAGGCGGUUUGAUAAGUCUGAAGUUAAAGGCUGUGGCUCAACCAUAGUUCGCUUUGGAAACUGUCAAACUUGAGUGCAGAAGGAGAGAGUGGAAUUCCAUGUGUAGCGGUGAAAUGCGUAGAUAUAUGGAGGAACACC
rnacentral:rRNA from 1 species